UCCGCUCAAGUUUCAGUCAUCGCAGGAAGCACCUGCGCUCUGGACAGACGCGUCAUCUUUCGGACAGCUUCGCCUCAGCCCGCCGUGUAUUUCCCCGUCGUGAGCGACGCGUGAGAAAAAAAAUACGAGACCCCACCGCCGUCGCAUCAUCGUCCGGUGCUGCCGCAGCGGGCUGGGCGCCAACGCGCGCGCCAUUUUCCUCCUCUCCCGCCUGCCUCCUCCGCCGGGACACACGCCGCCGCCAUGCGCCGCCAUCUUGGAAAUCGUCCGCUCUUCCUGAGGCUGAUACACUUUGCGAUGGCCGAGCCCAGAGUUCAGAUGGCGCAUCCUAACAAACUAUAGUUAAAGCUGUCCUGGAAGGACUGGACUCAGCUGUGAACAUCAGCAUCACUAUCGGGCGGUUCAACAAGCCUCCGAUAGAUGGCACCAGGAGGAGCGGCAACUUUUUACUUCUCGAGACCGAAAG